UACGUAGGGGGCAAGCGUUGUCCGGAUUUAUUGGGCGUAAAGAGCGUGUAGGCGGCCUGACAGGUCUGCUGUGAAAACUCGAGGCUCAACCUCGAGAUGUCGGCGGAAACCGUCUGGCUAGGGUCCGGAAGAGGAGAGUGGAAUUCCUGGUGUAGCGGUGAAAUGCGCAGAUAUCAGGAAGAACACCUAUGGCGAAGGCAGCUCUCUGGGACGGUACUGACGCUGAGACGCGAAAGCGUGGGGAGCGAACAGG
rnacentral:rRNA from 1 species